UAUACUUCUCUCUGCCCUUACUCUGAACUUUCUGUUGUACGACUGUGACCUGACCUGAACGUCAGCUGCGACUGCUUUUGUGCACGCGCAUUUACGGCAGCCCACGUGCGCCGGUGACCUCAGCUCUUCGUUUGACAACUCUUGUAUCACUGCAAACAGAAGCAACAAGCAAAAAAAAAAAAGUGUUUCUUUAUCAUUCGAAGUGAGAUGCAAUGUCAGCCUUAUGUUGGACACCAUGCAAAAAAUUAUAAUUUCAUAACCUGAUUAUGGACAUGUUUUGUCACAGAGAAACACGUGAUAGUUUCGGAAUCGAUAUGAGUUCCUUAUCUGUGCGAUCGCAGGUUCGCGUGUAAUUCAGACGACAGUGAUGGGUGCGCAGAAGAACCAGGGCGCUAUGCAGACUGUAACUAUGAUGAAAUUUGAGUGAGGGAUAUGGAAGGCACUAAUAUGAGAUGAAGGGGUAUGUGUGAAUUCUUCUCCUGCCACGUCCCUGCUUAAAUGCAUGACGUCUGCUUGGACAAGGACAGAAGCAGAGCAGUGGGUUCAAAUGAAGCCACAGUGCUUUGCUGUGGUAGUCUUGCAUGCAUAAGGCAAUUCUUCCCACUUUGGAUAUUGAGAGUAAAAACAGUGCUGAUCUGUGAUUAUGGCUUUAAAACAACAUUUUCAGAAAAUACACUUACUAUAGAGUCUGGGAGCUGGCUAAAGUUCCAUCUAACUCUUGGCAAGAAAAUAAAAUAUAAUAUAAAUUUAAAAUCUAUCUCUAUUUGAUAGAGCUCUGUGUGUGUGGGG